rnacentral:lncRNA from 1 species
GGCCUUGUUGUAUUUAUUGUAAUUGGGCCGAUUUUAAUUGUAAGAUUGGGCCGAUUUUAAUUAUGAAUUGGGCCUCUGAUUUUAUUUAUAUGGGCCGAUUUUAAUUACUGAUUGGGCCUCUGAAUUUAUUUAUAUGGGCCUUUAGUUAUUCACAUAUUUGGGCUGCUGUAUCAUUUCAGUUAGGCCUUAGUUAUUUUAUUUCAGUUGGGCCUUAUUUAUUUUACUCAGAUGGGCUUUUAUUACAUUAUUUCAUUGGGCCGAAUUUAUUUAAAUUAAAGCCCAUCUAUUUUAUUUUAA